rnacentral:rRNA from 1 species
UUGAACGCUGGCGGCAUGCCUUACACAUGCAAGUCGAACGGCAGCACGGGAGCAAUCCUGGUGGCGAGUGGCGAACGGGUGAGUAAUAUAUCGGAACGUGCCCAGUAAUGGGGGAUAGCCCGGCGAAAGCCGGAUUAAUACCGCAUACGACCUACGGGUGAAAGCGGGGGAUCGCAAGACCUCGCGUUAUUGGAGCGGCCGAUAUCAGAUUAGCUUGUUGGCGGGGUAAAAGCCCACCAAGGCGACGAUCUGUAGCUG